rnacentral:rRNA from 1 species
UACGUAGGGGGCAAGCGUUGUCCGGAUUUAUUGGGCGUAAAGAGCGUGUAGGCGGCCAUACAGGUCCGUUGUGAAAACUGGAGGCUUAACCUCCAGACGUCGAUGGAAACCGUAUGGCUAGAGUCCGGAAGAGGAGAGUGGAAUUCCUGGUGUAGCGGUGAAAUGCGCAGAUAUCGGGAGGAACACCUAUGGCGAAGGCAGCUCGCUGGGACGUUACUGACGCUGAGACGCGAAAGCGCGGGGAGCAAACAGG